rnacentral:rRNA from 1 species
AACGAACGCUGGCGGCAGGCUUAACACAUGCAAGUCGAACGCCCCGCAAGGGGAGUGGCAGACGGGUGAGUAACGCGUGGGAACGUGCCCUUCGCUUCGGAAUAGCCCCGGGAAACUAGGAGUAAUACCGGAUACGCCGUAUUGGGAAAGAUUUAUCGGCGAAGGAUCGGCCCGCGUUGGAUUAGCUAGUUGGAGGUGUAAUGGACCCCCAAGGCUACGAUCCAUAGCUGGUCUGAGAGGAUGAUCAGCCAGACUGGGACGGAGACACGGCCCAGACUCUUGCGGGAGGCAGCAUUGGGGAAUCUUGGACAAUGGGCGCAAGCCUGGUCCAGCCAUGCCGCGGGAGUGAAGAAGGCCUUAGGGUUGUAAAACUCUUUCGCCGGAGAAGAUAAUGACGGUAUCCGGAGAAGAAGCCCCGGCUAACUUCGUGCCAGCAGCCGCCGUAACAC